CCGGUGGCGGAUGGGCAUGCGUCGCAUUAGUUAGUUGGCGGUGUAACGGACCACCAAGACGACGAUGCGUAGGGGUUCUGAGAGGAAGGUCCCCCACACUGGUACUGAGACACGGACCAGACUCCUACGGGAGGCAGCAGUGAGGAAUAUUGGUCAAUGGGCGGGAGCCUGAACCAGCCAAGUCGCGUGAGGGAUGACGGCCCUAUGGGUUGUAAACCUCUUUUGCCGGGGAGCAAAGUGCCGCACGUGUGCGGUUUGGAGAGUACCCGGAGAAAAAGCAUCGGCUAACUCCGUGCCAGCAGCCGCGGUAAUACGGAGGAUGCGAGCGUUAUCCGGAUUUAUUGGGUUUAAAGGGUGCGUAGGCGGACGCUUAAGUCAGCGGUAAAAUUGCGGGGCUCAACCUCGUCGAGCCGUUGAAACUGGGUGCCUUGAGUGGGCGAGAAGUACGCGGAAUGCGUGGUGUAGCGGUGAAAUGCAUAGAUAUCACGCAGAACUCCGAUUGCGAAGGCAGCGUACCGGCGCCCAACUGACGCUGAAGCACGAAGGCGUGGGUAUCGAACAGGAUUAGAUACCCUGGUAGUCCACGCAGU
rnacentral:rRNA from 1 species